CAGACGCUCGGAACUCCGACCCGAGAGCAGCCGGAGCGCCGGCGGCGGAGCGGAGCGGGCGCGCGGGCCGGACCGGGCCGGGGCCGAGCGGGGGCCGGGCGGCGGCCGGGCCGGCGGGCGGGCGGCGGGAUGGGCUGCACGGUGAGCGCCGAGGACAAGGCGGCGGCCGAGCGCUCCAAGAUGAUCGACAAGAACCUGCGGGAAGACGGCGAGAAGGCGGCGCGGGAGGUGAAGUUGCUGCUGUUGGGUGCCGGGGAGUCGGGGAAGAGCACCAUCGUCAAGCAGAUGAAGAUCAUCCACGAGGACGGCUACUCGGAGGAGGAGUGCCGGCAGUACCGGGCCGUCGUCUACAGCAAUACCAUCCAGUCCAUCAUGGCCAUCGUCAAGGCCAUGGGCAACCUGCAGAUCGACUUCGCCGACCCCUCCCGGGCGGACGACGCCCGGCAGCUGUUCGCGCUGUCCUGCUCGGCUGAGGAGCAGGGCGUGCUCCCCGAGGACCUGUCUGGCGUCAUCCGGCGGCUCUGGGCCGACCACGGAGUGCAGGCCUGCUUCAGCCGAGCCCGGGAGUACCAGCUCAACGACUCGGCCGCCUACUACCUGAACGACCUGGAGCGCAUCGCCCAGAGCGACUACAUCCCCACCCAGCAGGACGUGCUGCGCACCCGCGUGAAGACCACCGGCAUCGUGGAGACCCACUUCACCUUCAAGGACCUGCACUUCAAGAUGUUCGACGUGGGCGGCCAGCGGUCGGAGCGGAAGAAGUGGAUCCACUGCUUCGAAGGCGUGACAGCCAUCAUCUUCUGCGUGGCCCUGAGCGCCUACGACCUCGUGCUGGCGGAGGAUGAGGAGAUGAACCGCAUGCACGAGAGCAUGAAGCUGUUCGACAGCAUCUGCAACAACAAGUGGUUCACGGAUACGUCCAUCAUCCUCUUCCUCAACAAGAAGGACCUGUUCGAGGAGAAGAUCACGCACAGCCCCCUGACCAUCUGCUUCCCCGAGUACACAGGGGCCAACAAGUACGAGGAGGCAGCCGGCUACAUCCAGAGCAAGUUUGAGGACCUGAACAAGCGCAAGGACACCAAGGAGAUCUACACACACUUCACCUGCGCCACCGACACCAAGAACGUGCAGUUUGUCUUCGACGCCGUCACCGACGUCAUCAUCAAGAACAACCUGAAGGACUGCGGCCUCUUCUGAGGGCGGCCCCUGGCCGGACGGUGAGCCGCGGGCCGGCAGGGAGCCGGGGGCCGGCAGGGAGCCGGGGGGCCGGACGGUGAGCCGCGGGCCGGACGGCCACCGGGAAUCUGCUCCCCCAGUUCCUGAGGAAGAUGGGGGCACGAGGACCACGCCCCCCACCGCCCUCCCCACGCUUCCCCCUCUCUGUUCUUGGCUCCUCUGUCGCCUCCCUCAGCUCCCGGGACCUGGGGAAGGGGUGCCACAGGCUUCCCGUUGGGAGCCUGCCCUUGUCCCAGUGCUGGGAACAGCGGGUGCCCCUCCUGGGCAUCGCGCUGGGGGUAGCCCUGGUCUCGUCCUGUGGUGAGGGAGGGGGCACCGCCAGCCUGGGACCCGGUCACCCAGCCCAGCCCCUGGCCCGCCCAAGGCCAGAUGUUUACAGGAGCCUCCUGCCCCCACCCCGCCCCAGCGAGGAGGCCCCACAGGAAAAGCACAAGCAGCGUGAGACGCCACCAUUCCGAGACACAGGCCACCCGCUCAUCCUCGUCGCUUUUUAAAAAAUCGAAAGGAAAAAAACCCGCAAACUUAGAAAACUUUUUAGAGGAAAAACUAUUUAAAACUGUCCGGUCCUGACCGGCUCCCCAGCCCCAUUCGAGCAACUCCGUGCCUUGAGUGUGUCUGUGUGUUUACACCCGUCCUCUGCUGGCUGCCCCUGGCGGCCCGCCACACCGGCCCGCGGCUGCCGGCCUCCCAGGCCUGCCCAGGCCGGGGCCCCACUAACCUCCCUGACGCCCUCGGCUAACCUAGGAAGCGCGGCCUCUGCCCUCCCCCAGGUCGGCCUUCAGCCUUGAACACUUCCUUGCUUUUUUCACGUUUUAUGGAAUUGUCCACCGGGUUUGAAAUAAUAAAAUGUAGAAAGAAAAACACC